GACGAACGCUGGCGGCGUGCCUAAUACAUGCAAGUAGAACGCAGUUGCGAACGGGUGAGUAACGCGUAGGUAACUGCCUCAUAGCGGGGGAUAACUAUUGGAAACGAUAGCUAAUACCGCAUCCUGUGAGAUGGACCUGCGUUGUAUUAGCUAGUUGGUGAGGUAAAGGCUCACCAAGGCGACGAUACCUAGCCGACCUGAGAGGGUGAACCGCCAAACUUGGAACGGGACAAGGCCCCAGCUCCUUCGGGAGGACGGCGUAGGGAAACUUCGGCAAAGGAGGGAAGUCUGACUGAUCAACGCCGGGGGGGUGAAGAAGGUUUUCGGAUCGUAAAGCUCUGUUGAUAGGGAAGCGGUAACUAACCAGAAAGGGACGGCUAACUACGUGCCAGCAGCCGCGGUAAUUC
rnacentral:rRNA from 1 species